GAUUUGGUGCUUAACAAGCUUUACGAACCAAUGUCGUUAUGGUAGCAAUGCUCAAUUGCAAUUGCAGAAACAUCUGUCCCAGACUAUUGAAAUGACAGUAAGGAUCGGAGCAGGGUCGUAGUGGGACAAUGUCAACGUUUGUGCGAGAUCCUUGUGGAAUUGUUUGUAUUUUGUUGACAUAUGUGGCUGUACUUUACGCCGAUUACGUAGUAAUAAGAUGGAUUAUUUUGCAGACAAUGCAAAACAGUUUAUGGGGACCAUUCCAUGUAGUUGUCUUCAAUACCAUAGUUUUUCUCCUUUCCAUGGCUCAUUUGAAAGCGGUGUGUUCAGACCCAGGAGUUGUUCCUCUGCCUCAGAACAGAGUUGACUUCUCUGACAUUCACUCAGGUUCCUCUGGAUCUCUCCAACGGGAGGAUUGGACAGUAUGUACCCGAUGUGAAACGUACCGACCGCCAAGGGCGCACCACUGCCGUAUCUGUAAUCGUUGCAUCCGAAGGAUGGAUCAUCAUUGUCCUUGGAUCAACAACUGUGUGGGUGAACAAAACCAGAAGUAUUUCAUCCAGUUUCUUGUUUAUGUUGGUGCUCUAGCAGCUUAUGCCAUUGUCCUAGUGGUGCUUUCAUGGGUUGUUGAAUGCCCUGAUUGUAGCAGUGAGAUUUCUGUCAAGCAGAGUCGCAUUCUGCACUGUGUGAUCCUAGUUCUGGAGAGCGCGCUAUUCGGCAUUUUUGUUUCUGCAAUCCUCGUGGAUCAGUUCCAAGCCAUUUUUAGUGAUGAAACAGCUGUUGAGCAAGUUCAGCAUCAAGGGCCAUUUCGACCACACAAACCUAAGCUUGCGCUCCUAACAGAAGUGUGUGGUCGAGGACACCCGGUAUUGUGGCUCCUUCCUUGUGUGGGAGUGUCUCGCCACAUGGACGAACCACUUCUCAGUCAUGAUGUGUGAAGUUUAACGUAUUGCGAGAUCCAGUUUCAUCAUCAUUCAGAUAUUAAUUUAUGGUAUUUCCACUUCGGUUACAUUUUCUUUAUGCCGGUCUGUUUGGAGCUAUCGCUGGACCUUUUGACAUUUUUAAUGUAACUCCAGCUACCAUUCAAGUGCUAAAAUGGCAUUCAGAUUUUUAGUAGGAGCAUCGGAAUGUUUCCCUUGAUGACCAAUGUACAUAUCAGCCCCAAGCAGCAGGUCCAGGAUGUACAGUGGUUUUUUCUCCAGGAUAAACCAGCUGGAUCAUAAAGCUGAUUAUUUGAUUUUGUUCAGUGCUCUGGUGGAUGAUGUAUGGCAGUUUUACUUCACUUCCCAAACGCAUUUCCUUGACAUGGUGAUGUUUUCUUUACUCUUGCUUUAAAGUGUAAUAAGAAGGCAGCCUUUUGAAAAAGUAAGUCUGAAUCUCUCAGUCCAGUUAAAAAUAACCAACAACAUUGACCCUUUCUUCUGAAUGUCACAGAGCUGGAGUAUCUAAAGGAUCUCUUCAAUGAAUAUGGUGAUAUAAUUACAAUUUAUUAAGCCAUGGAAGUGAAACUUGUUUAGCCAGGAUCAUUUAUUGUAAAUUGUUUUCAUACUGUUUCUUUCCUUAAAACGUGCACAGUUUGUAUUUAUUUCUGGUAACACAACAUUCAUACACAGUAGUGCCUUGUUACCAUUUAAAUUAAAAUAAAUUUUCUUUCCUAUUCUUCAAUUUGCGACAGUACACUUGGAAGUGAUGUUUUCAUUACAAGAACAUCAUAAUUUUAUAAAAAUGGGUUUACACCAGAUUUAAUAACAUGUUCUGUUAACAACUAUUCAUAUUGAUCAGUCUGAAAGUGGAUAACAUCACAUCAAGAGGGCACUUAUUUCAGGCUUCAAAAUAUUUAAAUCUAUUGCAGUUAUUGGAAGCCCAAAAAACAAUAUUAUAUACACCUGUUUAUACACAGCUGUUUUCAUAAUAAUGAACCAAUGGAUUGAUUUGCAAAUCUAUGAUUAAUCCUUUUCCUUUUGGUUUAUAUUUAAACAAUCAUUCUUCUGUGUGUGCGUAUACAGAUGACCGAAGGUCCUCAGUGGUUGAGAAUUGGAGGGACAUAUAUUUUCUAAUGAUUAUCUCAAACACCAAAAAACUGCACAAGGACCAGUGUUACUAAGUGACAGGUGGCUUGUGCAUUGCAUAGAAUAAGUUAAACGUAUGAUUCCGCUUAUUUAAAUGAACUUUCUUAUAUGAGUAUAUGUCGAUGGUACUCCGUAAUCAGUGUUGUUGAAACUCCUUGAAUAACUAGGCAUAACUUGAGAAAUGACAAGACACAUUUCUUCCACUGAUCUCAAAAACCAAAUUUCAGAGUGGCAAGUGUUUGCGAGUUAGAUGCCUAGUGUAUAGCAUGAAUUUACUGCCAUGUUUAUCAGAGUCAGUAAUGCUCUAUAAGUGGCACUGCUGACCCACUCUUAUCAGGCAGGUAGAUGCCAGAGAAGCGUAAAGAAUGUAACUCCAGGCAUCAAACAAAAAUGUUUUAUCAGAACCUUAAUGGUUCAAACAAUAUAUAUGUUGUUUAAACUACUGAUGAAUAUAGUACAUUUGUACCUGGUUGUAUAUGUUUGUGUGUGUGUGUGUUUGGGGGAGGGUGGGCACAUGCAAAAACUCAUUGAGAGGAAUGAAUAUUCUGUAUUAGAAGUGGAAACAUUUUGAGCAAGUCAUUUCUAUAAAAUGCAAUGCAGUGAGCACAGGCAUAACUGUGUGGUCUGUAAAUAUUAUCAAAGUAUGUAGAUAUAGUGUGUAUGUUGGCAAUAAAAUGCUGAUCUUUAAUUAGUUCAUUCUGAAUCCUCUCAGGAUAUCUAAAUAAUAAGAAGCACUAUUUUGUGUUUGCUCGUAUACAAUAAAAUUCCCAACACUGGAAACUCACAGUUCAUGAAGCACUAUUUUCUUAAAAAUUUCUCUCAUUUCAAAACACUCUGCUUGUUAGAUGUGUCUGAUAGAACACAAUGUCAUCAGAAGGGGUUAUAUUUUCUAUAGAGUAAUACACAAAUCUGAUCAAACAUUGCUUAGAGCACCUCAAUUCUCUUGGGAACCAUAUCUAAUGUUGUUGAAGUGUUGAUUUAACAUUCAAGGGGCAAAGAUUGUGACUUGGAAUUUAUGAUUUUUUUUUACAAUUUUGGGCACGGUUAUACAUAACUUAAUACAUGUUUGGAUUCACAUCAACACUGCUGUUCUUGUUGAACAGUGUUACAAAACAAUUUUAAGCAACUGCCAGCACUAGCCUGCGAGGUAUAGUGUGCACUAUUCGUACUGUUAUUUUGGUUUAUGUUCCCUUUUUAGCCUAGUUAAGCAUUGAAUGUGAAGCAGAUACAUACACAAACGUCUUUUAGUUACAUUUGCAUCAGAAAUGUUUGUUAAAGUUUGGAUGCUCAUCAUAUAACUUUUGACAUUGAAAUUCAGAUUGAAAUAAAUUGUCACCAAAUGUUCAAAUCUCAAAUCCAGUCUGCACAAGGUCCCCAUGGUUCUCUGUCAAUCUAGUGCUAAGCUACACAACAUUUUUGCUACUUUUUAAUUACUGGCCCUGUAGAACAGCAGAAUGAGUUGUGCAGUUAAAGUGGAAUUACGUUUCCACCUCAAACAAUUCUCAGUCUGCAGAUUUUUCUUUGGGAAUUAUGAAGGCAAGAAAUUUUAUACACACGCGCGCUUACACACAGACAGACAUACAUACAUAACCAGAAACGAGCUGUUUAUUCACUUUGUCACAAGAUUGAUUGAUUGAAAUAAAAACAUUAAAGUAAAUUGAUAAUUAUGCAGACAUUUGUAAGUAAACUUCAUAAAUAGAUGUUGCUGUUGGUCGUCUGGGUUGUAACACUAUAUAGACUUAUAAAUUUAUACCAAGUUUCAGAGGAACAUACUGCCUCAAUCUUUGUGGCAGAAGCAGAGGGGAGUAUGUUCUUCUGAAACAUUGGUAUGUACCAACAAGUCCACAUGGCACUAUAACACAAAUAACCAAUAUCAACACUUAUAAAUUGCAUGUUAUUAUAAGAAUAAGUAUAUUUGCCAUGUAGCAACAAAUUGUUAGAAGUAACAGCUAACAAAAAUAAAAUUACUGAUUAAUUUUUAUUUAUAGCCUUUUAAAUGUAUAUUUUAAUUGCUCACUUCUAUCUUCAUGUGAUAGAAAUGGGAAUAUUUUGAUGUUUCUCAAAAUGUUAACAGUGUAAUUAAAAUUCUAACUUUCUUAAGGAUAAAACCUCAUUCAUUUGUGAUAGAUCCAUCUGGCAUUUGCUGGGAUUAUUUGCAUAUAAAUAAUAAAAAUAAAAUUAUUUUCAGUACACCUUAUAAUUUAUAUAAGGAACCAAGUGCAAUAUUAAUAUACCAAAGCUAAAAUAUCAAAUUAUGCAUGGUCAUCUGACAAAAUCUAAUAUGCUUGAAAAUUUGGACAUCCCCUAAUUCUAACCAUAUCUGAAUGGCAGUUGAUGGCUCCAGCCAAAAGCUGGUGAGGUGGCAGGUAGCUCUAGACACAGAUCAUGUUUAGUUCUACAAUUUGUCCUUUGGUUCUUUAGAACAGCAAAUGCUUUCCAGACUAUUAUAACAGAAGGUGUUAUAGCAAAUAUUAUGAAGAAUUUACCAUUUGAUUUCUACACACUGACUUUCAGUGUUUUUGUGUCCCUUCUGUUUGUGAUAAAAUCAUUUUCAGAAUAAAUGGCUGUGUGGGUCCUUGUAACAGUCAUUUACAGUUUUUUCCCAGGCUUCUAAUUAAUUAUAUUACUCUGAUGUACAUAGAUAAAUGUAUAGUAUUUUGUGAAGUACAUUUAUUUAAUUCAUCUGAGAUUCAUAUUUGAAGUUUGUAUGGGACUUUGGUUUGAUGGUCAAAGUAAUUUCAUAUUGCUAUUUAAAGAAAACAUUUUAAGCAACUCAGGUUUCAGUGUGAAUAUGACUAAUUGGGUAAUUAAAUAAGGUUUUUUUUACUAUGGAGGUUGUGUAAUGUUGAAUGGUAGGCUGUGUGAAUGAUAAAAAGAGUGUGGAAUGGUGUGGUCUUGGCCUAUUUUAAGGUAGUAUCCCAUCAUUUGCUUGGAGUGACAGGAAAACCAUUAAAUUACUCAUUCAGUAUAGCCACUUUCCCUGAAUUUCAGGACACCUGAAUACAGAUCAAGAGUUCAAACACUUCACCAUGACAUUUAGUAUAAUGAGGAAUGUCAAACAUUUUAUAAUAUGUUUAUGGUGUAAAUAAAUGUUUGGUACCCUGUUUGUAAUGGGUUUCAUACAGUUUAAUAUUAUCAUUGUCAGUGCUUGCAUAUAUUCAUGUGAAACAGUACAGACUGAUUAGUGAGUAUGUGACACAUGUAUUGAUAUAUAAAAGAUUUCAUUGAUAUGGUAGUGAAGUGUACUGUAAAGGAGAUCACAAGUAAUCAUCAUAUUUAUUACCAUUAUGUACAUCAUCAUUAUUCAUUUAACCAAUAAGUAUCAACAUUAUCUAAGUACUUUAAAAUCUUACGUAGUAGGUCUGUGAUGGGAAUAUAUUCAUUUUUAUUAUUCAUUUGUUAUAUUACAGUUGAAGAUUUGUAUUUAUUCUAAGAAAAUUUUUGAUGUGGUGCAACAAACUGAAUCAGUUUUAGUAUGUUGCAUGACAGCAAAAAUAUUUUAUUACAUUUGUAAUAAGUUAUAUAAACUGAGUAUUGUUUCUGUUACAUGUGUUUCACAAUGAUGCAAUUUUUGUAUAUUUUUUAUUGUUAAGUAUAUAUUACAUAUUUAGUGUUUAAGGUUUGAUUUUUUAUUACAUUGUCAUUUGAAUUUUUCAAUGAUAGUCACAAGAUUUUAAAACAAGUGUCAGUGUUUCAUAACAUGGAUAUACCCAUGUAUUAAAUGAAAUGGAAAAUGUA